UGGGGAAUAUUGCACAAUGGGCGCAAGCCUGAUGCAGCGACGCCGCGUGGGGGAUGACGGCCUUCGGGUUGUAAACCUCUUUCAGCAGGGACGAAGCGAAAGUGACGGUACCUGCAGAAGAAGCACCGGCCAACUACGUGCCAGCAGCCGCGGUAAUACGUAGGGUGCGAGCGUUGUCCGGAAUUACUGGGCGUAAAGAGCUCGUAGGUGGUUUGUCGCGUUGUUCGUGAAAACCGGGGGGCUUAACCCUCGGCGUGCGGGCGAUACGGGCAGACUAGAGUACUGCAGGGGAGACUGGAAUUCCUGGUGUAGCGGUGGAAUGCGCAGAUAUCAGGAGGAACACCGGUGGCGAAGGCGGGUCUCUGGGCAGUAACUGACGCUGAGGAGCGAAAGCGUGGGGAGCGAACAGGAUUAGAUACCCUGGUAGUCCACGCCGUAAACGGUGGGUACUAGGUGUGGGGUUUCCUUCCUUGGGAUCCGUGCCGUAGCUAACGCAUUGAAGUACCCCGCCUGGGGAGUACGGCC
rnacentral:rRNA from 1 species